rnacentral:rRNA from 1 species
CGCAUCUGUGCAUGCAGCAUAUCAAUAAGCGGAGGAAAAGAAACUAACAAGGAUUCCCCUAGUAACGGCGAGUGAAGCGGGAAGAGCUCAAAUUUGAAAUCUUAAAGGGUUUCCCUUUACGAAUUGUAGUUUAAAGAAGUGUUUUCUGUUGAGGUUUUGGUAAAAGUUCUUUGGAAUAGGACAUCAUAGAGGGUGAGAAUCCCGUAUUUGACCUUUACUUUCAACUUUGUGAUACACUUUCAAAGAGUCGGAUUGUUUGGGAAUGCAGUCCAAAAUGGGUGGUAAAUUUCAUCUAAAGCUAAAUAUUGGCGAGAGACCGAUAGCGAACAAGUACCGUGAGGGAAAGAUGAAAAGAACUUUGAAAAGAGAGUUAAACAGUACGUGAAAUUGUCAAAAGGGAAGCGUUUGACACCAGUGUUGUUUUUCUGAAAAUCAAUUAAAGAACUGUUUAUGCUAAGUUGUUUAGACUUUAUCAGCUAACUGUUUAGUUUUGAGCUUUUCUUUAAUGCACUUUUCAAUUAACAAGUCAACAUCAAUUUCUUUUGCUGUAAAAAAGCUUGAGGAAGGUGGCUUGAGAUUCGUCUUAAGUGUUUAUAGCCUCUUGCCUAUGCAGUCGGAGAGAUUGAGGUCUGCAGCGUAGAUCCUUCGGGGCUAAAUGCAUUUGUGCUAAGUUAUAGCAUUUUAUAGACAACUUGUUGACUAUGAUUUGUCUUGUAGCUUACUCGCUUAUGUUAUUUUACCUACGCUUAGGAUGUUGAACGCGCACAGAGUCU